GAACACGCGUCACAAUGCAUGUGAGAUCGAUUACACAGGCAGGAGUACAGAAAGUUUUAAGAAUCAGACGUUUUAGUCGACUGUGCGUUAAAAAUCAGAAGUUUUGCACCGAAUUCAACUGGUGAGUCAUCUUUUAGAAAUUCUCAAGGUCCAACGAAAUCAUGGCUAUGUCAAAGGGUGUAGGUAUGGGCUCGAUCGCAAUUGGAUGUUUGUUGUUGGUAUUCACAUUCAUCUCUGUGAUUUGUGGUGGCGUCGCGAUGAGCAAAAUGAGCAGCCCACCUGCUGUUAGUAUCGGCUUGUGGGGAUUUUAUGUAAGUAUAAGAUAGUCAUAGUGCUUGUUUUUUAGCGCUUGCGUUUCUAAUAUUAAGCUUGCG